GUUUACUACGGGAUAGCCUUCUGAAAAAGGAGAUUAAUACCGUAUGGUAUUCUAAAGUUUCAUGACAUUAGAAUUAAAGGUUUACCGGUAAUCGAUGGGGAUGCGUUCCAUUAGAUAGUAGGCGGGGUAACGGCCCACCUAGUCAGCGAUGGAUAGGGGUUCUGAGAGGAAGGUCCCCCACAUUGGAACUGAGACACGGUCCAAACUCCUACGGGAGGCAGCAGUGAGGAAUAUUGGUCAAUGGGCGAGAGCCUGAACCAGCCAAAAGUAGCGUGAAGGAUGACUGCCCUAUGGGUUGUAAACUUCUUUUAUAAAGGAAUAAAGUGGUCCACGUGUGGAUUUUUGUAUGUACUUUAUGAAUAAGGACUCGGCUAACUCCGUGCCAGCCGCCGC
rnacentral:rRNA from 1 species